ACUCCGGUGGCCUAGUGGUUAGAGCGUCCGCUUCGGAUGCGGGAGGUCGUGGGUUCGAUUCACGAUUCCCCAGUGCU